CUCCUUCUCUUCUUCUUCUUCUGCU
rnacentral:sRNA from 1 species